GCCCCUUUGGUGUAGUUCGGUCAAUCAUACCAGGCUUUCAACCUGGCGACUCGGGUUCAAAUCCCGGAAGGGGCG
rnacentral:tRNA from 2 species